rnacentral:rRNA from 1 species
CCGGCACGGGUGAGUAACACGUAUCCAACCUGCCGUCUACUCUUGGACAGCCUUCUGAAAGGAAGAUUAAUACAAGAUGGCAUCAUGAGUUCACAUGUUCACAUGAUUAAAGGUAUUCCGGUAGACGAUGGGGAUGCGUUCCAUUAGAUAGUAGGCGGGGUAACGGCCCACCUAGUCUUCGAUGGAUAGGGGUUCUGAGAGGAAGGUCCCCCACAUUGGAACUGAGACACGGUCCAA